ACGAACGCUGGCGGCAUGCCUAACACAUGCCAGUCGAACGAACCCUUCGGGGUUAGUGGCGCACGGGUGCGUAACGCGUGGGAAUCUGCCCUUUGCUUCGGAAUAACUCAGGGAAACUUGUGCUAAUACCGGAUGAUGUCUUCGGACCAAAGAUUUAUCGGCAAGGGAUGAGCCCGCGUAGGAUUAGGUAGUUGGUGGGGUAAAGGCCUACCAAGCCGACGAUCCUUAGCUGGUCUGAGAGGAUGAUCAGCCACACUGGGACUGAGACACGGCCCAGACUCCUACGGGAGGCAGCAGUGGGGAAUAUUGGACAAUGGGCGCAAGCCUGAUCCAGCAAUGCCGCGUGAGUGAUGAAGGCCCUCGGGUCGUAAAGCUCUUUUACCAGGGAUGAUAAUGACAGUACCUGGAGAAUAAGCUCCGGCUAACUCCGUG
rnacentral:rRNA from 1 species